AGUGAACGUUGGCGGCGUGGAUUAGGCAUGCAAGUCGAGCGAUCGUAGCAAUACGGGAGCGGCAAACGGGGUAGGAAUACAUCGGAACGUACCUUUUGGUUGAGAAUAGCGUUGGGAAACUGACGGUAAUACUCAAUAAAGUCGAGAGACCAAAGGUUUACUGCCGGAAGAGCGGCCGAUGCGAUAUUAGGUAGUUGGUGGGGUAAUGGCCUACCAAGCCUGAGAUGUCUAGGGGGUGUGAGAGCAUGGCCCCCACCACUGGGACUGAGAUACUGCCCAGACACCUACGGGUGGCUGCAGUCGAGGAUCUUCGUCAAUGGGCGAAAGCCUGAACGAGCGACGCCGCGUGCGGGAUGAAGGCCCUUGGGUUGUAAACCGCUGUCAGGGGGGAUGAAACCGUAAGGUUGACAGAGCCCCAGAGGAAGCACGGGCUAAGUUCGUGCCAGCAGCCGCGGUAAU
rnacentral:rRNA from 1 species